UUUAAUUAUAAAUUGCUUUGAUUAAUUUCAUUUUAAUUUCUUUUCAUUUACUGCUGCUGAUGAGCUACUGGUCUCGACCCGGCUCUAGAUGCACUAUGGAUUGGGCCCUGGUGGUUUUAGUGGGUAUCGGGUCAUAGCAUUUUACAACCUUGACCCCCACACUCCCCGCGCCAUUCGUAUUUGCCCAGGCGUGGGGGCCCGUAAGCGGGUUUCCCCAGGUAAAAAAAAAAAAAAAAAAACUUGUGGUGCUUGAAAUUGUUUAUAGGCAAGAAGACUACCCUUCCGUGCCUGUAUACGAAAUUCAAGGAUUCAACGUGAAACACUUAGUGCCAGUCAGAAAAGUCAACGGCGUGUGUACGGCACAGGAGGCUGAUCACCCUACUUGCCUAUUAGAUUGACAAAUAUCAUGAAAGAGAUUUAGAAAUCUGAGGCCAAAAAGAGGAUUAUAACACGUAAUAGAGAUCUAUUAGCAUCUCUCAUUCCUGAGGUCCUUGGUUCGAUUCCUGGCUAUGCAGCUUUUUGUUUUUAUGCGCAUCUAACACUUGCUCGGUGAAGGGAAACAUCGUACGAAAACCGGAGGCAAACGGGCAGAAGGCGCUGAUGUUAGUUGAAGGCUAAAUAUUUUAAGUAUAAAUACAACAUUGAAGAUUCACAAUCGUUUCACAUUUCACCGUUAUUAAUAAAACCAUAUUGGAGAUA